rnacentral:lncRNA from 1 species
AAAAAAUGGGCACACUAAACGGUGAAUAGAAAUUGACACACAACAGAUAUGGCAAACUAACAAUAAUAAAAUACUCAUUACACAAUACCAUAAUGCCAACGUCUCAGGUGCUUACAACCAUGAGUGGCUAGAGGGAAUACGUCAUUCCUAAAUAUUACAUGAAGUACCUAAUCAACUAGUCUAGUAGUUAAUAAUGCAUACUGAACCGUUUCGCUACAACCAAGACAGUACCCUGGUACAAAAUAACCUUCCGACCAUCGCCGUUAUAUUACAAGAUACCUGCAUACCCAUCACAACGGCCAUCAAACACUACUCACCAAUCACCAUCGUCGAGGAACAGAUCGUCCUCGUCUAGCUGCAGGCGGUAAAUUAUAUCCUCCAAAUACUGGAUAUGAUCCUUGUGGUUCUUAUUCUUCUUCCUCAACUUCUUGUUCCUCAAGUCAAGUUCAGUGUUAGUUAAAACUAGCUCGUCGUACACGUGAACUCCAUCCUCGUCAUUAGGAUCAUUAUUGUCCUUGACCCUGCACUACAUGAAGCUGCCACAACCACCAUUGCUCUUUCGGCAACUGAAGUAGCUAUGGAAGGGAACCUGACUUUCACCGGGUGGAAGCUCUAGUGAAUACACCUUGGCUGGAAGGUUACACCCUCACAUUGGAAUGAUGCUCAUCCUGCAAUUGCUAGUACACGGAAAAAUCAGAUAUCCAUAAGCAUAAACCCAGUCAUCCGUAACACUAAGCAACUGUGAAACUAUUAAAACCAAAAGUUGCUAUUAACGAUUGCAGGCAAUUCAGAACACAUCAUGUAGCAGAAAUGGGCAGUUUUUCUCAAAUUACGUCACUGCCCUAUACAUUAUCUCCAAUCAAAUGAAUCAAUAGCUGAUUCAAGGGCUGAGGUGGCACUGAUUGCACUUCAUCCCUUACGAAUUUUAGCAUGAUAAACACUUAAAUAUGUAUUGAGUACUUUGUUCGACCGUUU